rnacentral:rRNA from 1 species
UACGUAGGGGGCAAGCGUUGUCCGGAUUUAUUGGGCGUAAAGAGCCCGUAGGCGGUUCCGUAAGCUGGGUCGUCAAAUCUCUGGGCUCAACCCAGAAUCGCUUCCGAUACUGCGGUGACUGGAGUCCGGUAGGGGAGUGUGGAAUUCCUGGUGUAGCGGUGAAAUGCGCAGAUAUCGGGAGGAACACCGGUGGCGAAGGCGGUUCUCUGGGCCUUACCUGACGCUGAGGAGCGAAAGCGUGGGGAGCGAACAGG